rnacentral:rRNA from 1 species
AUAGCGUAUAUUUAAGUUGUUGCAGUUAAAAAGCUCGUAGUUGGAUUUCGGAUGGGCACUGCCGGUCCGCCGAUUCGGUGUGCACUGGCCGUGCCCAUCUUGCUGCCGGGGACAGGCUGCUGGGCUUAACUGUCUGGCACCUGGAGUCGGCGAGGUUACUUUGAGUAAAUUAGAGUGUUCAAAGCAGGCCUACGCUCUGAAUACAUUAGCAUGGAAUAACACGAUAGGACUCUGGCCUAUCUCGUUGGUCUGUGGGACCGGAGUAAUGAUUAAGAGGGACAGUCGGGGGCAUUCGUAUUUCAUUGUCAGAGGUGAAAUUCUUGGAUUUAUGAAAGACGAACUUCUG